CACUCCUACGGGAGGCAGCAGUGGGGAAUUUUGGACAAUGGGCGAAAGCCUGAUCCAGCCAUGCCGCGUGCAGGAUGAAGGCCUUCGGGUUGUAAACUGCUUUUGUACGGAACGAAACGGCCUUUUCUAAUAAAGAGGGCUAAUGACGGUACCGUAAGAAUAAGCACCGGCUAACUACGUGCCAGCAGCCGCGGUAAUACGUAGGGUGCAAGCGUUAAUCGGAAUUACUGGGCGUAAAGCGUGCGCAGGCGGUUAUGUAAGACAGUUGUGAAAUCCCCGGGCUCAACCUGGGAACUGCAUCUGUGACUGCAUAGCUAGAGUACGGUAGAGGGGGAUGGAAUUCCGCGUGUAGCAGUGAAAUGCGUAGAUAUGCGGAGGAACACCGAUGGCGAAGGCAAUCCCCUGGACCUGUACUGACGCUCAUGCACGAAAGCGUGGGGAGCAAACAGGAUUAGAUACCCCGGUAGUCCC
rnacentral:rRNA from 1 species